UACGGAGGGGACUGGCGUUGUUCGGAAUUACUGGGCGUAAAGCGCACGUAGGCGGAUUUGUAAGUCAGGGGUGAAAUCCCGGGGCUCAACCUCGGAACUGCCUUUGAUACUGCAAAUCUCGAGUCCGGAAGAGGUGAGUGGAAUUCCUAGUGUAGAGGCGAAAUUCGUAGAUAUUCGCAAGAACACCAGUGGCGAAGGCGGCUCACUGGCCCGAUACUGACGCUGAGGCACGAAAGCGUGGGGAGCAAACAGG
rnacentral:rRNA from 1 species